AAAGAAAGCCCUGGGAAGAAGCAGGACACAGUCCAGUGUCUUCACAUCAGUGUAGAUGGAUGGAAAGCAGAGUUCUGGGCCACUCCAGACUUCCUCAUUCAGGAGAUCCAGGGUAGGGCCUGGGAAUUUGCAUUUCCUCGUGCUUCAAGGCUCCUUUUCAAAUUUCUUUUCCAUAAAGCCUUCUUUUUCAUUAAAAAUUUAAAAGUUAAGAAAACUUAGCUUUAUUGAGGUAUAAUUGAUACACACAAAAAAAUCACACUCAUUCAACGUAUUUAUCUUGAUGAUUUUGGACCUAUGCAUACAGUCAUGAUACCAUCACAACCAAGGUAAUAAACACAUCUCCAAACGUUUUCUUUUUGGUAAGAAUACUUAACAUGAGGUGCAUCCUCUUCAGCUACUUUAAAAUGCACGGUAUUUUAUUAUUAACUAUAGGCACUGUGUUGUACAGCAGAGCUCUAGAAUUGAUUGCUUUGACUAUUUGAGAUUUCUUUUGGUUCUGUAGUAAUUUUAGGAAUUUUUUUCUAAUUUUGUGAAGAACGACCUUCAUAUUUUGAUAGAGUUUGCAUUGAAUCUGUAGAGUUCUUUGGGCAAUAUGGCCAUUUUAACUAUAUUAAUUCUUCUGAACUACGAGCAUGAAAAGCCAUCCCAGCAGCUGUUUGUGCCAUCACCUGAGGUUUUUCCAACAGUGUUAAAUCCAUUGAUCAGAGAAUGUCCUGAAGUCAAUUAACAUUUGCUUACUAAGUCUUUCAUUCUGGC
rnacentral:lncRNA from 1 species